rnacentral:rRNA from 1 species
GAUGAACGCUGGCGGCGUGCCUAAUACAUGCAAGUCGAGCGAACAGACGAGGAGCUUGCUCCUUUGACGUUAGCGGCGGACGGGUGAGUAACACGUAGGUAACCUACUUAUAUGACUUGGAUAACUUCGGGAAACCGGAGCUAAUAACGGAGAAUAUUUCGAACCGCAUGGUUCGAUAGUGAAAGAUGGCUUUGCUAUCACUUAUAGACGGACCUGCGUCGGAUUAGCUAGUUGGUAAGGUAACGGCUUACCAAGGCGACGAUACGUAGCCGACCUGAGAGGGUGAUCGGCCACACUGGAACUGAGACACGGUCCAGACUCCUACGGGAGGCAGCAGUAGGGAAUCUUGCGCAAUGGGCGAAAGCCUGACGGAGCAAUGCCGCGUGGGUGAUGAAGGCCUUCGGGUCGUAAAACUCUUUUAUUGGGGAAGAACAGACGUGGAAUUAACUGUGCCUGUCCUGACGGUACCUAAUCAAAAAGCACCGGCUAACUACGUG